UCUUUCCUUUGGAUCAUUAGCAGGACGCAUCUCUUCUGACUGAAAAAGUUGGGCACUUUCCCUCAGAGAGCCAGAAUAUGCCAUCAGCUGGUCUGCAAUCAAUUUGUCAUCUGUAAAAUAAAUCAAAUAUAAAUCUGUUAACAGUUGAGAAUUUGCUGCAAGCGUUGUAAAACUGGGAAUGCUUUGUGCACUAAAAAUACAUCAUACUAGUUACUUUUAGAAAUGAAAUAAAUUAAUAUUAUAUAAAUGCCCAUUAGAAUUAUAGCUGCAUUUAUUUGUUGUUUUUGAUAUACCACCCAAAAUGCAUUUGACCAAAUGCCCAAAAACGUACUUGCUAUCAUUAUUUGAUGGAUGAGUUCAGCGCUCAUCAGUCUGGAAUUAGCCAAUGGUUGUAAUCUAAAGGUACUAAUAGAUUAAUUGACACCAAUUUCAUGAGUGAUAACAAAGAUCCAUUUGUAUUAACAAUAUGAGUAUGUGAGUAACUAAGUGUUACUUUAAACAUAUCCAACAAUCAAAACAAGUAAAGUUCACAGAUUCACAUGUUACACUUCAGAUAGUUCUUUAUAGUUUGACCCUAACCCUAAGUCCCUACAAGAGAGACCAAUUGAACAUAGAGCGCCAUAGUCACAGACCAUUUAUUUUUAUAGAUUUGUUUAAGGACAUUAACCUGAUCCUGCUAAUCCUGUCCUGCUAAUUGUGGUUCUGUAGCAGUGCAUGUGUUGUGACUUCUGUCAGACACAUUCCAAGCAGACAUGUCCACAGAGGUAGCAGCAUUUCCAGCAAAGCCCCUUUGCACUAUACUGCAACGCAGCCUGUCAGCCUGGAAAGCACAACUAGCAUCUUAAUUAAGCCUAAGUUGGGGUACAAACCUGGAUGAGCAGACAAGACACAGGCCAUGGAAGACUGGUAUACGAUGCUUAUUUAUUUAAAGCCUGCAGUCUAAAAGGCAACAUGAAAAGAUAGGCAGAAGGCAACAACAACAAAAUCUAACAGGACAGACAUGAGCCCAAAGAGCAGGUCAUACAUGGACAUCUUAACAAAAACAGGUAAAAGUGUCAAGGUAGGCUUCAGACAAAAAUCAAUUCCCAAAAUGUGCAAAGGGAAGAUUUUCAAAAAUCAAUAAAAUACAGGGAACCUGACAAAAGGCUUUUGCACAAAGAUCAAGCAACCUGCCCCUGUCAAACUUCCUCUUUUAUUUAUCUCGUCUCUUCCAUCAAACAAACUGAUUAAUGCUGCACAGAAACCAACUCCGGUAGUGGGGGAAGAGUUUCAGUGACAUCCUAACAAGUGCUUUUUGUGAUAUCGCCCAUUGUGAAAGAUACUGUGUAAAAGAACAACUGCUUGAGUGAUUUUUUGAAAAGACAAAGACAAGAGAGUUUAAAAUGCUCUUAUCGGCUUGAUGUACCAAAAAAUAGGAGAUCAUAACUGAGACUAUACCAGUAUUACCUCAGCUGGUUACUCCUCCUCAUCUGUCAAGCUUUGCGAACACUUGAUAAAUCAAUAGAACUGCAUUACUGCACUCCUCAACUCCAAAAUGGAACCAGCAUUGCUUGACACCCCUCUCUGUGCUCACUGCCAACAAUGUGUGACUGAACAACUUUGGACUUGUGUUUUAAUCUUACAAAAGAAUGUGAGGUUUGCCUCAUACUCAUAAUCACAAGCAAAGACUCUUACAAGACAUGUAAACAUGUCCACUGACUGGAACAGCAGAAUUAUCCAGUAAUGAGAUGUUCUUGAAGAUCUGUCUGCAUUGCUGGCGGAAAGCACCUUGCAUGAAGUGGAUUAAAACGACAUAGUACUUUAUUCAAGUGCAGAAGAAAUUUCAUAAAUGCAUGCCAAGUGCCAGCCACCCUAUGGCACUUGUUUUCAUAUCUCAAAUGGACCUGUUUGUAAAUAAAGGGGAAGAAAAACAAACUGUUAUUUAUGCUGACACUUUUCCUAAUUAACCUUUCCUGACCUCUUAGUUGAUGGAGUUUAACCAGAGCAGAAUAAGCAUUCCUUUAUAUCCUUUAUUUUUUUAAACACAUUGUAUCCUGUUAGAGUCAACAUAGUAAUAUGGUAUGAGACACUCUUGUAAGCUGUGAAAAACAGCAUCCUUGAACAAAUGAAAAGCAUAAAAGUUUUGGACAGGCACCUAUUUUUUUAUGUUACUGAUCACUGUUUCCAUCACCAUGCAGUUCUGUGCUGGGUGAAGGCACAUCUCAUUACACAUGUCGAGCUGCACACUCCAUUUCUAGAUGGUCUAAGCUCCAUGCCAGCAUGUCAUCUAUUUAAGUGAAAAUAUCUCUCCUUAUCUGUCCCAUCUAUUUAUAAUUCUCUUACUCAGGAUAUUGGAAGGGAGAAUGUACAGGCCUUUCUUGUAGUUUUAGGUACAAGACAGGAAUCGAUGGCACACGUGGCAGUGGAGAUUUUUAAUGACUUUAGUUAAAUGGAAGCAUUUGGUCACUGUGUUUCAGGAAAAUCUUAGUAAGCCUGCAUUUGUUUUUCAGUUUUUCAGCAAUGCAUCAGUUGCCAUAUGAUAUGGUGUAUAGUGCAAUAUCCAGGAAACUGACAGAAAAUAUUCCAUUUACUGUGAUAUUUCCAUGGGAUUGAGUUACAUUACUGACACAACAGAACCCCAUUUUGUUUGUCAAUACAUUUGUUAACAUGCUCUAAAAUCCUGGGUCAUGAAGAGAUGGAGCCUAUUUUGGCAGUAAUGAAUGAAAGACAGCAAGCAAGCAUUGUCAGGUAAACAGCUCAUCACAAUGUGCAUACAAAAAUUAAAUAGAUGCAAUUUAAAGACAGGGUGCAAAUUACAAGCGGCCUCAGGAGGACUGGGACUUCAUCAUUAACCCAUCGGAAACCUGGAAAGCUUGAAAAUCGAAAUUUUGUGGAGUCCCUGAAAACAAACUUUAAACACAUGGCAUGGUGUUAUAAAUCACUCAUUGUCCAUUAAAGGGUUUACGAGAAAGUAUUGUAGCAGGAAGUGUUUCAGCAAAUUCCCAUGAAGAACAGGUGUGCCACAUUUCAAAUUGUUCCAUGAGUGGCCAAGUUGUUUCAUGCAGGCAGACAGACAGACGGAUGGAUGGACCUGGCUAUCACAAUUGGUGCGAACCCACCUAAUAAGACUCUCUGAACCCCAAAGGGCAUUCUGUGCACAGGCUGAAGAUGUGUACCUGAUGAUUUGAUUAUGGAGUAUUAGAGGAAACAAGCAUGAACCCCAGCUCAACAACAAUAAGGUAUGGUACCGCUAUAUUAUGGAAGCCUGAUGAUAAAAAAAGAUUUACAUUUUACUUAUUAAGUAAAGUAAUAAAGGAAAUAUUGUUAAAAAUAUUCCCACAUUUUCCUUUUCCCAAUUGCAGAUCUAAUAAAUGAAGUGAUUUGCUCAAUUUCGCACAAUGACUUUAGAUUAAGACACUUUGACUGCAAGGACCCAACAAUUAAACGAAAAUCAGGCCACUUUGGCCAUUUUGCUUCAUUCAUUUUUUGGAUCUGCUUUUUUGCCACAGGGUUGCAGGAACACUUGACUGGGCUGUGACGGCUGGUCUCACCAUUAUAACAAAAUAUUGUCUACAGGGAGGUUCAGUUACUUCAUUUGCUGUCACCUAGGUAAGGCCACAGAUCAAUGAGAUCAAUGCUGAGCAUACCUGAGGAAACCCGUCUGCUUCAAGACAGUUCAUCAAAUAUUUCACACUGCAUUUUGUACCUCCACCACCUGAUCGAGGCACUGUGCAGCCACCUGUGAUGCUCCAUUGAGAGCGGAUACCUAAACAGUCCAUGGGACUGGCUACGGCAAAUCAUCUGGGACAAAGCCUGGAAACAAUGAGGAAAGACUUUAGAACAUCACUGUCAGCUAUUUAUUUGACAUCUUGCAAGGCACUUUGUUUGAGCCACAUUCUGCAUGGAAAUGUGCUAAAGAAAUGAAUGUUGUUGUUGUUGUGAUAACUGGAGCUCUGUCCAGGGAUUUUUCCAACCUUGCACCACCUGCUUGCUGGGAAGAGCUCCAGUUGCACCCCUGACCCAUGACUGCAGUCCAGCCCACCCUAAUAACACCAUUAUUAAAUCUGUUGAUGACACUACAGUGGUUAGACUCAUUUCAGAAGGGAAUGAAUCUGCCUACAGAGAGGAGAUACUGAAGUUGUCAGCUUGGAGCUCAGCAAAUAACCCGACAAUGAACAUCAUGAAAACAAAGGAAAUCAUCUUUGACCGCAGGAAAAACAGUGUACACCUGGACCCCCUCCAUAUCAAUGGGGAUUGUUUAUAGACAGUGUCAGCCUUCAAAUUUUUGGGUACCUUUAUCUCUGCUGACCUGUCUUGGACUGAAAACACUAAAGCGGUCAUUAAAAGAGCACAUCAGCAACUUCAAUUCCUGAGGCUGCUUAGGAAGAAUAAUUUGGAUCAAAAACUGCUGGUGAACUUUUACUGCUCCAUAGAGAGCGUGCUGACAUUCUAUAUUGCAGUGUGGUAUAGAAGCUGCACUGCAGCAGACAGGAGGGGGCAAAAGCAUGUCAUCAAUGCAGCUUAGAAGACUGUCAGCUGCUCUCUGCCCUCCCUGCAAGAAUUUCAUACUUCUUGCUGCCUUGGCAGGGCAAAAAAUAUUUUGAAGGACCCCUAACAUCCUAGUUUUCACCUGUUUAACCUGUUGCCCUCUGGUAGGUGCUACAGGUCAAUCAAACCAAAGGGAAACAGACUCAGGGAGCGUUUCUUUCCUGGAACCAUAACUACACUAAAUCUCAACGUGCACUGACCAUCUCUCUCUGGAUCUCUGUCCCUCUAUCUCUUCUCUGUCCUCCUCUCCCCCCACCUCCUGAAUCUGGGUCACCUUUAAUUUGGAUGUGAAGUAAUCCUCUGUGUAAUAAUCACAGUCUAGUGUAAUAUCGCUCUAUUUGUUUUGUGUGCAAUAUUUUACACUAUUAGUAUUCUUUGUGUAAUAUUCAUAUAUUCACACUAUAUCUUUAGUGAUUCAUUGUGCAAUACCUGUAUGAUCAGUAAUAUUUCUUGUUGGUAAUAUCUCAUUUCUUGCUUAUCAAUACCGCAUUGAUGCCUAUUAAUUAGAAUUUUCUUUUUAUUUAGCAGUUUUAUAUGUAGUACUUUAUAGUUACUGAUUUAUUUCUUUUGUUGCAUGAAGGAGCAGCGGUUCUGCAAUUUCAUUGUACAUGGUAUCAGGCACAUAAUGACAAUAUAGGCUUCUAAUUCUAAUUCUAAAAGCUAAAAAAAAUGGAGUUUUGCAUCAAACAUAUCAACUGAAUCUCAAAUCAGCAGUGGUUUUCCUACCUUAUUCUGAUGAGGAUCGCAGAAAGUGCUGUCACGGAGAUAAGAAUGAAUUAAAAGAGCAGAAAUGUGCUCUGUGUAUCAGUGUGUGUGUGUCAGAGAAGACUCACUGCCAAAGGAUGAACAGAAACCAAAGGACUGGUACAUGAAAUAACAUGCAAAACUGACCAGCAUCCAUCCAUCCAAUUACUAAACCUGAUUAUCCAGGGCAGAGUCACAGGGAAGAUGGAGCCUCUCCCACCUUCAAAGGGUGCAAGGCAGAAACAGCUCCUCAGAGUGUGCAGGUGCAGAGCCCCGUGACAGGUUCUCAGGAAUAAAAUGCAAAUACGAACUUUACUAAUUACAUAAUGAGUACAUAAACACACAAAGUAGUUUUGUUAUAAUUUGUUAUAUGUUAUAAUUUUAAUAUGAUGACACAGGCAAGUUAGUUAAGCAAUAACUUUAACUGUCUUGAAAAGAUAACAAAAAAAAUGUAAUUGCAAUAGCAGACUUACAUUUCACACACAGCUUCUUAAACAUAAGAAUAUCUUUAUAAAUUAUCUUUCUAAAACGUUUUAAGUAACCGAAAAAUAUAGAGAUAUUAUAUUAAAAGGCGAUAUCCCUCCCAUAGUGAUACGGCGGUAAAUAUCACAUAAGAGAAAAUAACUUAGCUUUCUUUGCUAAUGAUUUAUGUAGCAUUACAGAAGAAGGAAGCUAUAGCAUGACAAUACCAAGGUGGGAGCUUGAUGUAUACAGUCUGCCAUUUUCUGUCGCUGCACCGAAAGGAUUUUCGGGACAAAUGACAAUAUCACCCAUUCGUCAUUCGGUUUCAAAGUAUUUGGCUGCUGUCCAAGUCUUUUUAUACUGUCUUCUCCACGUGCAGGCCCUUACGUCAGCAAACAGUCCAUUUCCAAACAAAGAAAGAAGAUCCCGUGCUCACUUCCAACAGAGGACAAAAUUGCAUACACUUGUCUUUAGGCUGACUACACAUUCCUCAAGCUGUCUCCGUCCAUCUUGUUCCUUGCUUGGCUAAGCACUUCUAAAUGCUGACAGCCCUUUUGGCCUGGCCUGUACAUGUGAAUGGAUUUAUAAAAUAAUUUC